AACGACUCUCGGCAACGGAUAUCUCGGCUCUCGCAUCGAUGAAGAACGUAGCGAAAUGCGAUACUUGGUGUGAAUUGCAGAAUCCCGUGAACCAUCGAGUCUUUGAACGCAAGUUGCGCCCGAAGCCACCAGGUUGAGGGCACGUC
rnacentral:rRNA from 6 species